ACACUCUAAAGUUGAAAUAAUUAUUAUCUUUAUUAGUUUAAUAUCUGAUAUGUGGUCAAAUGAAUUAUACGAUAUUGAAUUACUUUUUUGAAGGGAAGAAACCAUCACAAUAGUUUGCUAUUGAACCUUUCGAGUGUCACCUAUACGUUGCACUGUUGCAUAAGCUGGCGCACCUUAA
rnacentral:snRNA from 2 species